GCUCACUUUGGCAGCGCAUGUACUAAAACUGGAACGAUAUAGAGAAUAUUAGCAUGGCCCUUGUGCAAGGAUGACACACAAAUUUAUGAAAUGUUAUAUAUUUUU
rnacentral:snRNA from 1 species